GAGGAGUUGUAUGGGCGGGAUUGUGCAGAAUAGAAGGAGAAAAGAUAGAAUUUUGAGGGCAGAGAGAGGAAGAGAAUCAGCUGGGGAUUGUUUGUAAUGGACUUCAGAGAAGCGGCGUUAGAAAUUAAAAAGUUCUAUGAUGUCGCUGGAAUUCCUGUUUCUCACAGGAAUCAACUGCCGCAUCUGCUGUCAAACUGUCGCCCGAGGUCCGUGCCAAGUUCUUCCACCUAAGAAUGGUACAAUGUCUUAUAUCAAUUGAGGGUGUUGAUCUUAACGCCAUUAAUGAUUCUGGAGAAAUAGCUCUUGAUAUUGCAGAUAAUUUUGGAUGCCGGAGCUUGUUUCUAUUUUGAAAGAAGCUGGAGUUACCCAUUCCAAGGAUCAUGGAAGCCCCCUGAACUGCAAAACAACUCAAGCAAAUUGUCAGCGACAUAAAACAUGAUGUGCAGUCCCAGCUCACAUUAGUGGUCUUAAUAGUGCCAUCAACCAUGCAACAGUUGUUGCUGUCCUUAUUGCUACUGUUGCUUUUGCUUCCAUCUUCACUGUAUAUGUUGAAGAUAAAACAGAUGGAUUUUCGCUUGGUGAAGCACACAUAGACGUCUGUGGUUGUGAUUGAACAGAAAGCAAAGAAGUGACUCGUGUUUUGGAUAAACAAGCUCAUGUGAGCAGCUUGCCUCUUCAUCUCAAUCACCUUUAUCUCUCUUAGUUAUGUAGUGGUUGGAUCAAAUGGAAGAUGGCUUGCUGUCUAUGCAACUGUGGUUGGUUGCGUAAUAAUGCUCUCUGCAAUUGGUUCCAUUUGCUGUGUUGUUCAACAUAGGCUAGAAGAAUUAAGGUUGAGGAGCAUUCGAAGAACUGAGACUCAUUCACGUUCUUUCCCAUUGUCUAUGGCAUCAGAUACUGAGCUUGUCAGUGAGAACUACAAGAGGAUGUAUGCAGUUUAGGUAGAAUAAGCAAUUCUCAACAAUGAAGUUCAACAACACUGACAUGGCAUUAGAUCCAGAAUGGUGAAAGUAUGGAAGGGAUCUCUACUGUUCAAAGAUUGGCAAUAAUAUCAGAGUGAUAUCAGUCACUGAACAAUUCUCUUUGCUGUAAUGUUGAAUUGUUGCAAACUGGUGCAGCAUCUUUUCCAAAAAAAAAAAAAACUGUUUAGACGCAAGCUUUCUGUAUGGAUUAAAUAACUCGUAUAUAGAUUGCAACUUGGUGACAAGAUUACCGGAUGGCUGCUAUUUAUUUUUAUGCCUACAUACCUGAACAAGUUGUUAGUUCAUCAAACAAAAUGGUUUCAUUGUAUAACUUACGAUGGUGCUUUUUAGUUAUCAUCAAGUUCUAUCUUUUCCA